AUCAGAUCUUUGCAUGACGAUUGAGGAAUGAAGUAUGGUAGCAGUCAUCUCAGGUAGAAACUAUAGUUUAAACUCUAACCCUGCUGUUUGGUUUCUGUACUACUUGU